GCGUCUGUCGUGAAAGUCCGGGGCUUAACCCCGGAUCUGCGGUGGGUACGGGCAGACUAGAGUGCAGUAGGGGAGACUGGAAUUCCUGGUGUAGCGGUGGAAUGCGCAGAUAUCAGGAGGAACACCGAUGGCGAAGGCAGGUCUCUGGGCUGUAACUGACGCUGAGGAGCGAAAGCAUGGGGAGCGAACAGGAUUAGAUACCCUGGUAGUCCAUGCCGUAAACGUUGGGCACUAGGUGUGGGGACCAUUCCACGGUUUCCGCGCCGCAGCUAACGCAUUAAGUGCCCCGCCUGGGGAGUACGGCCGCAAGGCUAAAA
rnacentral:rRNA from 1 species